GACGAACGCUGGCGGCGUGCUUAACACAUGCAAGUCGAACGGUGAAAGUGGAGCUUGCUCCGCUGGAUCAGUGGCGAACGGGUGAGUAACACGUGGGCAACCUGCCCCUGACUUCGGGAUAACUCCUCGAAAGAGGUGCUAAUACCGGAUACGAAUCCUGCAGGCAUCUGCGGGAUUGGAAAGUUUUUCGGUCAGGGAUGGGCCCGCGGCCUAUCAGCUUGUUGGUGAGGUAGUGGCUCACCAAGGCGACGACGGGUAGCCGGCCUGAGAGGGCGCCCGGCGACACUGGGACUGAGACACGGCCCAGACGCCGACGGGAGGCGGCAGUGGGGAGUAUUGCGCGAUGGGCGAAAGCCUGACGCAGCAACGCCGCGUGAGGAAUGACGGCCUUCGGGUUGUAAACCUCUUUCAGCAGGGAAGAAGCGAAAGUGACGGUACCUGCAGAAGAAGCACCGGCUAACUACGUGCCAGCCGCCGCUGUAA
rnacentral:rRNA from 1 species